rnacentral:rRNA from 1 species
UACGUAGGGGGCUAGCGUUGUCCGGAAUCAUUGGGCGUAAAGCGCGCGUAGGCGGCCCGGUAAGUCCGUUGUGAAAGUCAAAGGCUCAACCUCUGAAAGCCGAUGGAUACUGCCGGGCUGGAGUCCGGAAGAGGCGAGUGGAAUUCCUGGUGUAGCGGUGGAAUGCGCAGAUAUCAGGAGGAACACCAAUAGCGAAGGCAGCUCGCUGGGACGGUACUGACGCUGAGGCGCGAAAGCGUGGGGAGCGAACAGG